GACGAACGCUGGCGGCGUGCUUAACACAUGCAAGUCGAACGGAGAGGCCUCUUUCGGGGGGUACUCGAGUGGCGAACGGGUGAGUAACACGUGAGUAACCUGCCCUUGACUUUGGGAUAACUUCAGGAAACUGGGGCUAAUACCGGAUAGGAGCUCCUGCUGCAUGGUGGGGGUUGGAAAGUUUCGGCGGUUGGGGAUGGACUCGCGGCUUAUCAGCUUGUUGGUGGGGUAGUGGCUUACCAAGGCUUUGACGGGUAGCCGGCCUGAGAGGGUGACCGGCCACAUUGGGACUGAGAGACGGCCCAGACUCCUACGGGAGGCAGCAGUGGGGAAUAUUGCACAAUGGGUGGAAGCCUGAUGCAGCAACGCCGUGUGCGGGAUGACGGCCUUCGGGUUGUAAACCGCUUUCGCUCAUGACGAAGCUUUGUGUGACGGUAGUGGGUAAAGAAGCACCGGCUAACUACGUG
rnacentral:rRNA from 1 species